UGAAUUUUAAAAAUGCUUGCUUUUACAAAUCGUAUAGAUACAAAUAAAUUGAUUGUUUGCUUUGAUUGUAGUCAGUAUUGAAAGGAACCAAUGUUUACUUUCUUCCACACCAACUGGAAGAAAUUAAGAUCUUGUGUUACUGCCACUGUCCCGAUUCUCUCCUAGCAUUAUUAAAUCUGCUUCAUUCACUUCAAACAAGAGAGAGAUCUCACUUACCGGAAUAUCUCUCGCUGAGAUUUAAUGUUCCAGUUGUAGUCACCUUUGUUGACAAGUUCAAAAAACUCAGCCCUCUUCCUACAACAAAACAUACCAAUGGAAGGAAAUAGAUUUUAUUACUUGGGGGCAAUGUCCUUUCCCAAAGUUGUUAAGUUCAGAAAGUACUGUAUAUUGGCCUGCAACACUCUAUAAUGAGCAAGAUUCCAGCGAAUGUACCUAAGUACCCCUAGGGACCAGCCUGCCUCUGCUCCAGACUAUUCAAAUUAAAAAAUUAUAAUUGCAGGAUGAGUUUUAUGGCAGCCCAUCAAUUUCAUAGUUCCCUGAUUAUAUACUGACAACAAGGAAAUAAAUGAUGGAACCUUAUUACGUCUUUGAAAAAGAAAGGUGAAAUGUAUUUUAAUAGAUGUUAGAAUUUUUUUAAAUAUGUAGGAUUUUCAGCUUCUGAUAAUGUCACAGCCUCUCCUAUGUCUUAGUCUUGUGCUAAUUAAUCACAGCCAAUCAAUUUUAGGUUGUGAAAUAUUCUACUUUUUCACUAGAAAAGUCACGUUAGGAUGAACAAAAUGUAUCCUAUUUAAAAUCAAUCACGUACCAAGUAUUAGUUACAGAAAGUAUUUUUGGUGUAUUGAAGAGCCUUGAACUUAUGCUACAAUGAUAAGGGUUCAAAUCCCUGAUUGAAUGAUCUCCAGCCAGCUUUUGUCUCUCAUAGAAUCAUAGAGUUGGAAGAGACCUCAUGGGCCAGCCAGUUCAACCCUCUGCCAAGAAGCAGGAAAAUCGCAUUCAAAGCACCCUCGACAGAUGGCCAUCCAGCCUCUGUUUAAAAGCCUCCAAAGAAGGAGCCUCUACUACACCCUGGAGCAGAGAGUUUCACUGCUGAACAGCUCUCAUGGUUAAGAAGUUCUUUCUAAUGUUCAGAAUCUGUGACACCAUUCCCUGAAAUGCCUUUGCUUAACUUCCACCUGCAUGAGUAAUCCACCUAGGACAGGCCAGCAUGAAAAAGGAUUUAUUCUUAAACAAGGAGCACACUCUGUGAAGAAGAAUUACACCCAGGAGCACAUACUAGCCUUGGCCAACUGCUUCAGUCACAGUAUCCCUGCAAACAUCUAAUCUACCCAGAUAUAGCAUCAUUCCAGAACACUAUGAGGAAUUAAGAUACUGUUACCCAGUGUGGAUUCAAACUUCUGCUGCUUCCAAUUGCUGACCCCACAACUAAAGGCCACUGAGAUAAAAAGGAUCCACAAAGAGAAUAGGUUGCUGAGGGUUUGUGGCCAAAGGUCUGGAACCAAGCCUUGCUCUAUCUGACUAUUUUCUAUAUUUUAGUGGAGGUUAGAUGUACAAAAACACUGCUUGUGGUAAAGGGAAUCCUGAACACAUUUAAUUAUACCUGUUGAAAAAUAUUGUUAGUGAUGGUAUCAGGUCAGGAGAGCAAGAGGGUGUCUGUGGUCUGUGAUGGCUAUUUCACACAUAGACGUUUGUCCCCAGUCCCACCGUAAAAAAUGGAAAUGGAACUAGCACAGCAUAACAAGGAGAAGCAAUUAAAACUAGUCCAUUUGAAAUGCUAGUCUUCUGUUAAUAGGAAGUUUUCAAACUGACAAAUUAAGCAUGUAUUUAAAAAGAAAAAGAAAAUAGCUAUAUAUAAUGUGUGCAAAACUUCCACAAAGCCUAAAAUGCCAGAAGCACUAGAGUAAAUAACUCAAAUGAUAAUUAAAUACUAACUUCUAGUAAUAUGUGCCCUCUGCCCUUGCUGGCAUUUAAAAGGUCAUUAGGGGUUGGAGCUCUUUCGGAUUUUCAUUUGUCAAAUUCAGAAAAUGCCAAUACCUACUCA